rnacentral:rRNA from 1 species
UACGGAGGGGGCAAGCGUUGUUCGGAAUUACUGGGCGUAAAGGGCGCGCAGGCGGCUGCUCAAGUCAGGCGUGAAAGGCCUGGGCUCAACCCGGGAAUUGCGCUUGAGACUGGGCUGGCUUGAGUGCGGGAGAGGAUGGUGGAAUUCCCAGUGUAGAGGUGAAAUUCGUAGAUAUCGGGAGGAACAUCAGUGGCGAAGGCGGCUACCUGGCCCAAUACUGACACUCAGGUGCGACAGCGUGGGGAGGCAAACAGG